rnacentral:rRNA from 1 species
UACAGAGGGUGCGAGCGUUGUCCGGAAUCACUGGGCGUAAAGGGCGCGUAGGUGGCGACCCAAGUCGAUGGUGAAAGCUCGCCGCUCAACGGCGAGUCGGCCACCGAUACUGGGUUGCUCGAGCACUGUAGAGGCUAAUGGAAUUCCGGGUGUAGCGGUGGAAUGCGUAGAGAUCCGGAAGAACACCAGUGGCGAAGGCGGCUCACUGGCCCGAUACUGACGCUGAGGCACGAAAGCGUGGGGAGCAAACAGG